CGAGCAGCCGCCGCUGCUGCAUUGGGAUCGCAAGCUGAGCGAGCUGUGCGAACCCGCCGACCCCGACACCCUGCUGGGCCACACGAGUGGUGGUGUUUCUCGUGGAAGAAAGAACAGGAUUGGACAAGAGGGAAUAGCCUCAAGUUGCACCAGGAAAGGUUCAAGUUGGAUAUUGGGAAAAAUUUAUUCUCUGAAGGAGUGACAAUGCAUUGGAACAGGCUGUGCAGGGAGGUGGUGGAGUCACCAUCCCUAAAGAUGUUGAAGGAAAGGGUGAAUGUAGUACUUAGGGACAUGGUUUAGGAGGGAAAUAUUGGUGGUAGGUGGGUGAUUGGACUUGAUGAUCUAAGAGGUCUUUUCCAACCUUAAUUAUUCUAUGAAAAAUGUUCUAAGAAAAGUCUGAAAAGCUUCCCAAGGGUUUGUUCACGGCACGUAUGAUGUGUCUGCCUGUAAUCUUCAUCUUGCCUGCAGCUUGCUAGGCUUGUGUAUGGGUAAUGCUGUACCCUAGCAUUUUGCAAGGCAUUAUUAUUGGAAGUUUUUUUUUUUCCUGGCAGUCAAGCAGUAAGGGAGCACACAGCCUGCUGCAGCCUGGAGAGAGCAGAAGCAAGACAGGCUGCAGCCUCCUCACUCCCUUCUCUGCUGCCAGUGAACCCUUGGUAGGCCCCAAGCAGGUGGGCUGAGGCUGUGUUCUGGGCUGAUCUGCAGCAGACUUUUUGUCCUUCCCCAGCAUUUUCUGUCUGUUUUUAACACCUUAGCUACUGGCUGCUUCCAAUUGAAAGUCACCCAAGUUGCAUACCCUUGAGCAGGCCUGACGUUGGAGUAUUGGAAUGCCCCAACCAGCACGUCACCAGUGCCAUUUUCUGAGUGGCGUUAGAGCUCAAUAAGCCCACUGCUGCAUCAGUGAUGCCACUCCAGGCACCUCACCCUCAGACCGCAUGUGCAACGUGAACAUUUGGGUUGGUGGCUGCGUCAUCACCUCCCCAUCGGCCCUGAGAGCUCAGUGGUGGCAGUUGUCAUCUGAGAUGGGUUGGGAAUCUCGGAGCCAGCCUUCCUCCUUCAGAUGAAAAUUGCCCAUUGCAAGCCUCUGAGCUCCCCAGGAGCCGACGGUGACUCAUUUCCUCUGCCACAAAAACACCACUGGCUGUUGCUCUGCAUGCUGAUGAUUUCUGCAGAAAUGGGGCAUCUGAGUGAGCUGCCGUGGAUUGCCUGCAAUCUUCAGAGCCACGGCACUGGCGAUGUUUAAUUGAAAUGGAACACAGUGCUUUGAUUUUACAGUGUGUAUUUAGUUAGAAGUUGUGGUUAGUGCACAGCACGUGUGGCUGUGGAGCUGGCUGCAUUUUAAUCUCUGGUGGUUGCCUGUGCAUAAGGUAGCUCUGUAAAACCCGGCAUCGAUACAGGCUAAUCCUAUUUAUUGUUUUAUUUUAUUUCGGUGGGGAAAAGGUAAUUCAUUUAUUUGAAAGUGGGGUUUAGCCUGCAGCUUGCUAACAAGGAAACUGAAAUCUCUCAUUUUUCCCUCCCUAUACACCUGCAUAUGGAGGACCAGAUGGCUAACUUGAGGUGGAAAAUGUGUAAAAUCAGCACGUCCAAGGAUUAUUUCCAAACUCGUCCAGCAAAGAGGAGAAAGAUGUGAAAGAGCAUGCGUGUCUGUGGAGGAGGCAGAUUAGCUGUGAGUCCAGCUCACACAGCAUGGUGUGAGGAUGCUGUGUCCUGCUGCCUUUCCCAGGUGCUGACCCCAGCUGCAGUUGUGUACAGUCGCCUGCCUUCGCUUUGCUCCCAUGCAGCGAGAGCUGGUCACCCUCGUGCAGGCAGCGGCAAAUAAAAUAAAGAUAAAAUAAGUAUAAACGUAAAUCUCGUAGGUCUGUGGCCAGCAUGCCGUUAGCUCUGGCUGUACGUCUUUGUCUUUGCUUCUUGCUGCCUGGCUGUCACCUGCAGCAUCCACUGCCUGCCGCAAGCACUCUGCCAUCUCUCUGUCUGACUGAUGUGGGAUGGAAAGAACUGCUGCAGGAGAACGGCACUAGGUGAGACUUAGCAGUUAGGGGUAGCCACCUUUUGGAGAGGGAUUAGCUUAGCUCAGUGACGUGCUCCACAGUCUGUACUAUCUGCCUCCCAUGAGCUUAAAGCAUCCUUCCUCUAAGUUCUCCCAUUUCUUGGUACAGCUUUUCAUGCCCCAUAGGAUUAUGAAUUUGGGGAGCAUCCCCCUCUUGCAGAAGAACUUUGCACCUGGUUUUCCGGGGACGGCACGUUCCGUGCUGCUGUUGAUCCCUGAAUCAUGCAGGUGAGAUGAUCAGGACUGUCUGGAUACCCUUUGGCUGCAUUUUUUUCUGGGUGACAAGACCUGACAGUGCGGUUCUGCACCUGGAUGUAACCGCAGGCUGUUGCAGCAGCUGCCUGAGAGCUCAUCCUCUUGAAAAAUGACUUUCUUGCAUGACAGAAAAUAGUUUUCAGCAGUAUGUUUCCUGAUGCAGCUUGCUUUGUCGCAGCUCAGGUACUGGUGCUGACAUGAGAGGGCAGGUGGGAAUGUUUGCCUGGGGAAGAGACUGGUGGAAUUGCAUUUUGGGCUGAGGGAAUGUACAGUGGAAGUAAUCUGGCCAGCUUCAGGAGUGUGUGCCUAAAUAUAAUACUGGUGAGUGUAGAUAUAUUAUUUGAUAGCAGUGGGCUGCACUUUGGGAACAAAGGGGGUUACCUGGAGGAGACAUCUGCUCAAGGAUCGUUCAUAGGGAGAGGCUGUUUGAGAAGAGCUUGAUGCAGAGCAGUGGACAGAACCCUUCCUGCUGCGCACGUCCCUUUUCUGUGGUAUGUUUCUGAGCUCUCCGUGGCAGGGAUGGCUGCUGCCUGUGUCUGGGAGCUUUCAAAAGUAGUUUGUGUCUUCAGAAAGCUGAACCAAGUUACAACCUUGAUGCUAAAUGAGUGCAGGAAGGAAGCAAGUGCUCAGUCGAAUAAGGAGUGCUUCCUCUCAGGACGGCAAGUUGGGAACCAGAGUAAGUAAUUGGACAAAUAAAGAAAGGUGAAAUGGGAUAGACCUGAAUUACUAGAGCUGUUCCUAUAGCUGCCACCCAUCCAAAUGUGUAGCUUACUCGUGCUGCUGACCUUUUGGUGCCUCAGCUGUGCCUUGGAAGCUACUCAGUUUUCUUUCCUUUUUUUAUUGCCAUCUGCCACUAACCAGCUUUCAAUCUUCUGUAUGCGAUCUGGCUUCACUGUGGUGACAAGCAAAAAUCUAAUGGAAAAAUGUGACACCCACUUCAUCUCUUUCUUCUCUGCCAAGAAAAAGCAUUCCUCUUCUGCCAUGCUGGGGCUGGCCCUGUCCUUAUAUACAAUCUGUUAGUUGUAUGGGGUGGGAAAGGGAGACCGUGUGGCUUUUGGGGAGCUCUGGGCAGGCCCUAGUGCUGAGAGCUUCUGGCCUGAGUGAUGCUGAGCUCUGAUCACAGCCAUGAACUACGGGGCUGCUUUAUUUAAGGACUGCAUUGUGAGGCAGGAGUCUGAUCCCCAAGUUUUCUGGAUAAAAUUCAGAACAUUUUAUAUGCUCUUCUGUAGCAUGAUAUGGUUAUGCUGGAGCCUGCACCAUUUGCUUUAAAAAUGUUUGUCAAACGUACUACCUGUUAGGAUUGUUUCCUGCCUGUGUUAUUUGCUUUUUGUGGCUAACCCCAGAGCCGUAGGUGUGGGCAGAGACCAUUCUGCAUUGCAGUCCAUGUGAUUAGCUCACAGAGCUUUCUGUAGACCCCCAAACCAGCCAACCAAAAAAGCCCUCAAAUCCCAAGGCCUGAGUACUGAGCAUGUCUCUGUUCCUUCUUCCUCACAGUCCAGUAGUGAAUAUUAUGUGCAAAGGGAAAAAGACUGCUUUUUACAUUUUCUCUCACUCCCCAACAGGUUCUACUGUGACCUUCAGUGAUCAGCUUGCCUGUCUCCAAUUUUGUGUGGGUUAACUGAAAACAAGUAUUUUCAUUUCUUCUAGCACCUGAAGAAAUGGUUUGCCUGAGUAUUUGUGGAACCAAAACUUAAGAGCAGAAUGCAGAUGCUGCUCCUGCCUUUUUCACAGCAGAAGCAGCAACGUGGCUGGUGCCUAUGGAGGAAGGGUUGUGAUAUAGAGCUCCAUGAUCUUUAAGGUCUCUUCCAACCUAAGCCAUUCUAUGAUAGUGUGGCCGAGAUGAGACCUUUGCGGGGAAUUUAGGCUAGGGCAGGGUGUUAUUUCUUGAUAGCUGGCUUUCUUGAAUCUAUUCUUGUUAGCAGAAGUUGGAGACAUGAGAAAAUAUGACAUCUGAAUGCUUGCUUUCAUACCUUAUAACAUGAGGCGGAGGCUGACUACAGAACAUCUGUCUUUGCCAUCUCCUGGUGUAACUGGGUGUAACUGGCCUCCUCAUCAGCACUGGCCAUGAGUUUGAUUGAGUUCCCUUCCCUUUGCCCUCUCUUCUUGUCUCUGCUGUUUCUCCUUGCACAGCAGCACAAGGGAUCUGGGGUCAGGGCUGCUAUGGUGUGUGGGAGAGGCUGACAGGCUGCAUUUCUUCCAAGAACAGGCAGAAAGCAUAGGUGUGAAAGAAAACCAAGCCAAACUUGCCCACGUUAGGCUCUGCUGGACAGCUUAGCUCCCUGUGCGCUGCCGUGGGGGCUGAUCACACUGUGAGGGACAUCCGUAGUUGUUGGCCCUGUGCCUUCUGACCAGCCUCAGGGACGCGACUCACGGAUGUGUUUCCUCUCCGGGCUUCAGAGAUCCAUGCCUGCAUCUCCUUCUAUCCCCUUCUCCCCUGGAACCUUUCUAUUUCCCUCCUCCACCUCCAGAAGGAAGCGAAGCUGAGUGUGAGCAGCAGGAAGGGCCUGUGCCUGUAGAUGUCAAAUGACAAAGCUCCGGACCUGUGCAAGGCCUCCAGAUGUGUGGUUUUGUGUGCUGCAGCCCUGUCCGGGGGUGCCCAGCUGGCUGGGCAGCAGCUAGAGGGCCACACUUGGACAUGGCUCCCCAAAGAAGCAAACGCUGUGCAAGUUUGCUAUGGCACUGCUGUGAAGGGGUGAAUUUUCUGGAUGCAGAACUUGUCUUCUCCUCAUGCUUUGGUGCUUUGCAAUUCCAUUCCCGGUCGGUUGUUCUGCUCCUCAGAGGCUUCAGUGGAUGAUUUAAUUUAGUUGUAGAAUAGAUUAAUUUACAGACAAGGAUGACCGAAAGAGAAAGAAAAGGAGAUUUAGAUUAGGUGUCAGGGAGAAAUAUUUUACUGAGAGGGUGGUGAGUCU